CCGCGCCGGGCGGAGCCGUGGGUCCGUCCCCCAGAGGAACGGGGUGUAACGUUCCGGUGUAUUUAAUGUUCCAGACUGGGCGAUAUCUCUUUCUCCUCCUCAUCCCAUUGAAAGGGCGUCUGAACAAAUGGCUGUGUGGUGUUUUGCUGCCUGCCAGGUUAGACCACAGUAACAGUAGCCCCUUCCAUUGAGCCAAGAGGUACAGAGAGGGUGUUAAACUCCUUGAACCACAGAGAUAAUGAAUCUAGAUGUGGCUGGAUCCACUUAAAGUUCCUUACUUGGUCAGUGGUUUACGUCUAUGGGAUCAUAUGUGCACAAGCAAUUAAGAUGGAAUCUUAGUGAAGUUGUUCUUCUGUAACUGUAAUGUGCUGAGCACUCAAAUGAGCAACCAUUUGUUCGGAUCCAGAGAGAGCUCCUGUGACAAAUGAGCAUGUGAUUAGAUGCAUGGCCUCCCUGAUAAUGCUACUGAGUCUUCUGAUUGAUGUUUCACCUGGAGUCUUUUUCAUGUGUAAGAACGUCAGAGGAAUUUUCAUUCACAUGCCCGUUUGUAAUGGAAUAGAAAAGGGACACCUCGGCCUCCUUUUCGCUGUGACUAAAGGGAAAUCUUAGAGUGGCUCAAUGAAGACCUCAGGAAAUCUUCAGGAGGAAUCUGUUCUGAUCUCACCUCGUGUGUGCAGUGCAUAGAAGUGAAUGACACAUAAUUAGACUGGGAAAGGAGAACAGCAACUUGUGCAACCUCUGAUGAAUACUACCAUGGCAGAACUGGUCAGAUGCAGCUCUACGGACAUCACCAAGAGGGGCAUUCUUGGAAGAACUCAAAAAUGCUGUAGAAGAUACGGGGAGUAGGAAACGUGCUACACAGCAGAUAAGAACAAGAACACCCUCAGAUCAAAACUGCACUGACUCUUUUGUAUUUACUGAGCCAGAAGUAAGGCAGCACUCUUAUUUUAAUGGUUUUUUGACACUUCUCAGCUCUGAAUAAAUGUGUUUCUAAAGGC